rnacentral:rRNA from 1 species
CCUACGGGAGGCAGCAGUGAGGAAUAUUGGUCAAUGGCCGGAAGGCUGAACCAGCCAUGCCGCGUGAAGGUCAGUGCCCUAUGGGCGUUAAACUUCUUUUGUGCGGGAGCAAUAAUGGUCACGUGUGGCCAGACGACAGUACCGUACGAAUAAGCAUCGGCUAACUCCGUGCCAGCAGCCGCGGUAAUACGGGGGGUGCAAGCGUUAUCCGGAUUUAUAGGGGUUAAAGGGUGCGUAGGCUGUGAGGUAAGUCAUCGGUGAAAUGCCCCCGCUCAACGGGGUGAAGUGCCAUUGAUACUGCCUUGCUGGAAUGCUGAUGCCGUGGGAGGAAUGUGUGGUGUAGCGGUGAAAUGCAUAGAUAUCACACAGAACACCGAUUGCGAAGGCAUCUCACGAAUCCGCGAUUGACGCUGAUGCACGAAAGCGUGGGUAUCAAACAGGAUUAGAUACCCGAGUAGUC